AUGUUUCAAAAAAAAAUAACCGAUAUUAUUCGCCUAUCCUCAACCAACCAUAAGAUUCACAAAAUGGAUAAAAGAUAUCUUCGAUGCACUAAAUGGAGUCCGUCCACGGGAAGGUGUAAUGCCUGACGGAAAAAAUCUUGGAAUAUUAAAAGAGGCUCUAAAUAAAUUAAAUCAGUGGCAAUCAACUAUGAAAAAUUGAGAUGUUUCGGCGGUCGAAUUUCUGACAAUGAAUACUGCAAGUGGCUUACGUGUAACCAGCUGCUCCACCCUUGCUCUGAUUAAUCACUUCUUCAAACAUGGUUUUAAAUAGGUCCUCCGUGCAAAAUUAAACGAGGAUAAACUUGAGCAAAUUUACGGGACAAUAAGGCAGGCGGGAGGCUCCAACGAUCACCCUACAGUGAUGAAUUUCUUAUAGCUGUAUAAACUGUUGUCAAUUUAUAAAUUAAUAAAGCCACCAAAACGAAGGAAUUGUACAAUAAUAGAGGACCAGUCACUCACAAGUAGAUAUACUCACGAAAAUUUCAAAAUGAUUGUUAAAAAAUCAUCAAGCAAGUCAUUUAAGAGAGCUCAUGUGGAUAGACUCGUGGAAGAACUGAAAACCAUGCUACCCAGAGAAAUGAAUGAAGAUGAACUGGAAAAUAUUUUUACUAACAUAUUGAAAACGUA